rnacentral:rRNA from 1 species
UGUGGUCGGGGGCAGCAGUGGGGAAUAUUGCGCAAUGGGGGCAACCCUGACGCAGCAACGCCGCGUGAUUGAAGAAGGCCUUCGGGUUGUAAAGAUCUUUAAUUGGGGACGAAACAAAUGACGGUACCCAAAGAAUAAGCUCCGGCUAACUACGUGCCAGCAGCCGCGGUAAUACGUAGGGAGCAAGCGUUAUCCGGAUUUACUGGGUGUAAAGGGCGAGUAGGCGGGCUGGCAAGUUGGGAGUGAAAUCCCGGGGCUUAACCCCGGAACUGCUUUCAAAACUGCUGGUCUUGAGUGAUGGAGAG